CGCGUAGGUGGUCGUGUAAGUCGGAUGUGAAAGCCCAGGGCUUAACCUUGGAAUUGCAUCCGAUACUGCAUGACUAGAGUAUGGUAGAGGGAAGUGGAAUUUCCGGUGUAGCGGUGAAAUGCGUAGAUAUCGGAAGGAACACCAGUGGCGAAGGCGACUUCCUGGGCCAAUACUGACACUGAGGUGCGAAAGCGUGGGGAGCAAACA
rnacentral:rRNA from 1 species